AGGGUUGUGGCUCAGAGGCAGAGGACCUGCCUUGCAUGCAGAAGGUCCCAGGUUCACUCCCUGACAUCUCUA